AUAGAUAUCAAGCCAUCCAGAAAAUCUUCCUUAGGAAUUUUAGGCUGGUUAAUACUGAAAGCAAACUUUCAAGGAAGGUUUAAAAUGGCCAAUUUGAAAUUUCUAGUGAAAAAAUUUGGUGUCUGAGCCAAAUUAAAAUGCCAAUCAUUAUAUUCUAACCAAACUUACAGACUUUAGUUACUAGCAAAUACCAGAUAUGAUUCUUACUGUAUAAAAGUUAUGAUUUUAGAAUAAAAUGGAGGAAUAACCACCAACAUAUUGUAGAUAGGUUGUGUCUGUCUCCGAAACUGCAAUGCUCUCAUACGCUAGAACAGAGCCUACCUACACUUUCUGCUCAAUUAAUAAGCAUCAUAUAAAUGAAUGAAUACAUUUUAAAAGAAAAACAAGGAGAAAGAACAGGAAGAAAGAACAGGAAAAGAAAACAGAAGGUGGGAAAGAGGAAGGAAGAGAGGGAGGAAGGGACAGGGCACUUGAGAGAAAGGCAAAGAAAAGAUUCCAUGAGGAUCCCAAAUCAGUCCCACACAUGAUCACACUGAAUUAUGAACUAAGAUAUUUACUGAAACGUUUGCCAUUAAUGCAUAUUUGACUUGCUUUUUCUGACCUAAUGAAUUUGCAAAACGAUGACAGUCAUGUAGCAAAUGUACAUGGACUAGUACUCACAAUUAAUUUUUUAUUUUCUAUACCAGCAGGAGACAAAGAUGAUAGAAGAAUGAAAUUCAUUUUUGACCCAGAAAUCCUAUUUUAGCUACUGCUUUAUCUGCUCUUAAUUUUCUAGGAGUGGACUUUGGGGCCAUCGUGCCGGAUCCUCCCUGAUUGUGGAGCGAUGGGGGGUUGCACACAGGCCGUUCUGCCCCAGCAGCUAACAAGAAAGACCCUUGCAUUCCUCCCUGCAUCUCUCCCUUUUGGGUCCUACUAAUGUCUGUUGAAUUUCUCUUUUUUCCAAAGCAAAAUCCUUCUCUGCAUUUUGUCUGCUUGUCUGUUUCCCAGAGCCGCAGGACUCUCUCCUUGUCUGGAGUUCCAGAGAGCCCCCACUUUCUCUUUCUAAACUGUGUUGUGUGUUUCCUGGUACAUUCUAGGUUCCCCAAAGAUAAACAUGACUAAGGAUUCGAAAGGAGGAAAGGCCAAGCAGAUUGUUAAUCUGAAAGUCAAUCCCCGGAUUUAGUUCUCAAAAAUGCUUUAUUUUUGGAGAAAAGCAAUAGAGUAAGACAGAAGGACUUAACGCUUGCAAGGAAGUGGCUUUCUGCCAUGUAGAGCCAGGCUGGCAACCCGCCCUCUGCCAUCAGGGAGUGAGCAUGAACCUGGAAACCUCUGGGACGCAAGAGCGAGGCUGGCUGUCCCCUCGUGUGCUGUGCUUAGACCUUCUUGCCACACAUCCCGUCCCUCACUUCACUGGAUAGCCCCCGAAUCAACCGUUCACACGAAAGCAGCUGCCUGGUUCUGAGUGGCCAUGCUCACUCCCAAGCAUAGGUUGAAUGAAAAGAAAACUGUGCAAGUAGCUUGUAUGGUGGGAAGCCCCCAGCAGAGGCUGAGGGUGCAGCCAGGUGCUCUGGAAGCCUUGAGGCCUCUGGUGUCAUCUUCCUCACCCUAAAUAAGAGAUGGGCUAGGUUGGUCAAGGUCCUCCCUGUCCUAAAACACUUUAAUGAAAUGGAAGAAAGGCUGCAGGCUGAUAGAGGAGGGACAGUCUGGUUUGGUUCCCUCAAGUCUUCAGGAGAGGGCUCAAGGACAGUCUCCCAUUUCUUGUUGGCAAAAUGUAAAGUGCAGUCUGGACCCUGUCCAUUGAGUAGAGACUCAGGAGGCCAACCAAGAUCCCUGAAAAGCUAACAGCGUGGUCAGCCUUCCCACAGACAGUGCACCUACCGUGGGAGGACACUUCGCCCCCCAUUGUUAACGUCCACCGCGCCCAGACUCCCACAGCGAGCUCCUUCCCUUCCUCCCCAUGUUUGCAGUGGAGUUCCCACUCGAGAAGACAGCACAGUAGCAAGUAGAGGCUGGUCCUGGGACACUCGCACCCAUGUGUGUCAGGAAGCCCCUGCGAUCACACGGCCCAUGAGGAAGCCAGAGGGGCUGCUGGGGCUGAUGAGGCCAGGGCAGGGCGGCCUGCUCUUCCAUAAAUGACAGCUGGCACCAAAGCCCAGAGCUGGCAGCCUCCACCUGAGGAGUGGCAUCUCCAUGAACGGCUUGUGUUCUCGCACAACCCCAUUGCGUAGAUGAGGAAACUGAAGCUCAGAGAGGUUCCUGCCCUUGCCCAAGGCCACACAGCCGGAUGAGCUAGAAAGGUGCUAGGAGACUCGGAGGUGGGGGAGCUGAGACGCUGUCCCGCUGCUGCCAGGAUGCGGCCGCCCCCCGUGCCAGCCAGGCCUGCCUCCUCCCUCUGUCCGGCUCAGCAGCCCCGGCCUCCUGUUGCUCCCAGUCCGAGCUAUGGCCAAGGGAGACUGAUUCCUGCUCACCCUGGGAGAGAGCUCAGGAUUUUGUCUCAAAACCUUAUAAAAGAUACGAGGCUCGACAUUUUACUAAGGCCGAGGACUCUUGAUCUCCCAGACAGAUCCUAGAACCACAGGGCACAUGUGACCAGAAUCCAAUCUGUGCAAAUCAAUCAGCAAAAGGAGCCCCCAGCAAAGGCGCAGGCCGGGGCCUCCGGGGACCGGCACCUACACACCGCACAGCCCCCCAGGGUCCGAGUCCUCCAAACACGUGUAGGCAGGAGCCUCCUUACCUUGAUUUGCUUGAUGUUUGCUAAUCUUCUCUUGAACACCCCACAGCGUGAAGGUAAGCAACUGUUCCCUAAACGACUUAGAUCCUUAAAAUAUGUGUGGUCGGGCCGCAUAUCUCAUGAGAGAGCCUCCGCCCAAACCAGAGCCCUCCUCUCUCUGCGGCCAACACCCUGGUAGACCUGGGGGAGCAGCCUCUCCCGCCCCCACCCCCUCAGCGCGGUGCUGGCCCGUGGCUCCUGAACCACUCACCAGUCCAGUCCGGGGCCUGGGCCCUUCCCCGGGGCCCUGGUGGCAGCUCCCAGUGGCUCAAGCAGCGUGCCCAGCACCGCGGGUGGAGGCUGAGCUCCGUGGUCUUCUCUUGCAGGGGGCCGAAGGCCAGAGACCAGGAUUUGGCUACGGAGGCAGAGCGUCCGACUAUAAAUCGGCUCACAAGGGAUUCAAGGGAGUCGAUGCCCAGGGCACGCUUUCCAAAAUUUUUAAGCUGGGAGGAAGAGAUAGUCGCUCUGGAUCACCCAUGGCUAGACGCUGAAAACCCACCUGGUUCCGGAAUCCUGUCCUCAGCUUCUUAAUAUAACUGCCUUAAAACUUUAAUCCCACUUGCCCCUGUUACCUAAUUAGAGCAGAUGACCCCUCCCCUAAUGCCUGCGGAGUUGUGCACGUAGUAGGGUCAGGCCACGGCAGCCUACCAGCAAUUUCCGGCCAACAGUUAAAUGAGAACAUGAAAACAGAAAACGGUUAAAACUGUCCCUUUCUGUGUGAAGAUCACGUUCCUUCCCCCGCAGUGUGCCCCCAGACGCACGUGGGUCUUCAGGGGGCCAGGUGCACAGACGUCCCUCCACGUUCACCCCUCCACCCUUGGACUUUCUUUUCGCCGUGGCUGCGGCACCCUUGCGCUUUUGCUGGUCACUGCCAUGGAGGCACACAGCUGCAGAGACAGAGGACGUGGGCGGCAGAGAGGACUGUUGACAUCCAAGCUUCCUUUGUUUUUUUUUCCUGUCCUUCUCUCACCUCCUAAAGUAGACUUCAUUUUUCCUAACAGGAUUAGACAGUCAAGGAGUGGCUUACUACAUGUGGGAGCUUUUGGUAUGUGACAUGUGGGCUGGGCAGCUGUUAGAGUCCAACGUGGGGCAGCACAGAGAGGGGGCCACAUCCCCAGGCCGUGGCUGCCCACACACCCCAAUUAGCUGAAUUCGCGUGUGGCAGAGGGAGGAAAAGGAGGCAAACGUGGGCUGGGCAAUGGCCUCACAUAGGAAACAGGGUCUUCCUGGAGAUUUGGUGAUGGAGAUGUCAAGCAGGUGGCCUCUGGACGUCACCGUUGCCCUGCAUGGUGGCCCCAGAGCAGCCUCUAUGAACAACCUCGUUUCCAAACCACAGCCCACAGCCGGAGAGUCCAGGAAGACUUGCGCACUCAGAGCAGAAGGGUAGGCGUCCUCUAGACAGCCUCGCAGCCGCGCCAGUCGCCCAUAGACACUGGCUGUGACCGGGCGUGCUGGCAGCGGCAGUGCACAGUGGCCAGCACUAACCCUCCCCGAGAAGAUAACCGGCUCAUUCACUUCCUCCCAGAAGACGCGUGGUAGCGAGUAGGCACAGGCGUGCACCUGCUCCCGAAUUACUCACCGAGACACACGGGCUAAGCAGACGGCCCCGUGGAUGGAGACAAAGAGCUCUUCUGACCAUAUCCUUCCUAACACCCGCUGACAUCUCCUUUCGCGCCUCCCUCCCUAACCUACUGACCCACCUUUUGAUUUUAGCGCACCCGUGAUAGGCCUUCCAAAGAGUCCCACGCUGGCAUCGCCCUCCCCGAGGACGGAGAUGAGGAGUAGUCAGCGUGAUGCCAAAACGCGUCUUCUUAAUCCAAUUCUAAUAAUUCUGAAUGUUUCGUGUGGGCUUAAUACCAUGUCUAUUAAUAUAUAGCUUCGAUGAUGAGAGGGUUACAAAGAACAAAACUCCAGACACAAACCUCCAAAUUUUUCAGCAGAAGCACUCUGCGUCGCUGAGCUGAGGUCGGCUCUGCGAUCCAUACGUGGCCGCACCCACACAGCACAUGCUGUGACGAUGGCUGAACGGAAAGUGUACACUGUUCCUGAAUAUUGAAAUAAAACAAUAAACUUUUAAUGGU
rnacentral:sRNA from 1 species